GUCCUCUAAAGCAACUUCCGUGGGUGCCAGGUUGUGGGCUGGGGGCGGUGCUGACCUUGAGAGAGCGGAGGAGGCGCAGGCGCAGCACAGGUACGUGGGCGGGCGGAUCGUGGUGGCUGCGCUUGCGAGGACCCUGAGGUAGAUUGGGUGGUUUCAACAGGAACGCAUCCACUGUCUGAGAGUUUAAACUUGAUUUUGUGAGGGGACGAACAGCGUGACAAUUAAAAGAAGAUCUGGGAAUCAAAAGCUUCCUGAGGCCUUCACCAGAAGCAGAUGCUGGUGCCGUGCUUCUACAGCCUGCAGAACUGAAUACCCAUCUCGAGUUCUGGAUAUGUGCUCUGAGAAGGUGCCCAUGUCACCGACCACACUGGAGGCCAAUGCAGAUACUGGGGGAAGGUUCCAUGGUAGCUAAGUGUGGACAAGCUAAUCACUGAAGUUCCCUGAUGCAGAGUUGAUAAUCUCUCUAGAGUUGGAUGAAAGACUGUGCUGCCUUGAAGCUCUGAGAGAUGCCAUGCCAAUUCAAGGCAGGGUCUUUAUUGUUGAAACUCUUGCGUAAUGACAUCUUUAUUCAGGUGAAAAUACAGGAUGAAUUUCAACUAUAUGAUAUUGUUUAUGUUCCUCAGACAUGUUAUUUGUCUUUACAAAGAUUGGUUUCAAUAAACUGUGUGACUGAUAUUAAAUAAACAUGGAAUUUUACACAUUC
rnacentral:lncRNA from 1 species